GUGGACGCCAGUCUGCAUGGAGCCGACCUUGAAAUACCACCCUUUAAUGUUUGAUGUUCUAACGUUGACCCGUGAUCCGGGUUGCGGACAGUGUCUGGUGGGUAGUUUGACUGGGGCGGUCUCCUCCUAAAGAGUAACGGAGGAGCACGAAGGUUGGCUAAUCCUGGUCGGACAUCAGGAGGUUAGUGCAAUGGCAUAAGC
rnacentral:rRNA from 1 species